UUAAUUAUGGAGAGCAUCAGCCACUUGCUAUAUUUUUUUCCUCAACCAGAGAGCAAAAUCAUUAACCACAUGUACAUGGAUCAAUGAUAGAGUACAUCAUCUAAGAAAUAAUAAUGAUACAGUGCAGCUAGCAUCAGCACAUCAUCAGCCACGCACUGAACUAGGCGUAGUACUACUAGAAAACAAAUAUGAUUCUUAACAUCAAUUAUUCAACUCCCACAAAAAACAAGAUCAAUUAUUCAACUCCCGCAAAAAAACAACACCAAGUGUAUUCAACUAAAGUAUGGAAAAAUUAUUCCACACAGCUCAAGCACUUCCACAACCACAAGCAUCAGAGCCAAGUGAUAACCAGCCGGCCUUCCAGUGCCAGGGCUCACACGCUACCCAGUUUACUUUGAACAGCUUCCAAAUUCAGAUGAAAACCACAGUCCAUGGUUCACAAAUAAUAGUGCGCCGGUGGAGCCAGAAGAAUGGAAAAAGAACAGCAAAUGUAUCCAUCAG
rnacentral:lncRNA from 1 species